UACGUAGGGGGCAAGCGUUGUCCGGAUUUAUUGGGCGUAAAGAGCGUGUAGGCGGCCAGGUAGGUCUGCUGUGAAAGUCGGGGGCUCAACCCUCGAACGCCGGUGGAAACUGUCGGGCUAGAGUGCGGAAGAGGCGAGUGGAAUUCCUGGUGUAGCGGUGAAAUGCGCAGAUAUCAGGAGGAACACCAAUUGCGAAGGCAGCUCGCUGGGACGUUACUGACGCUGAGACGCGAAAGCGUGGGGAGCAAACAGG
rnacentral:rRNA from 1 species